CCUACGGGGGGCAGCAGUGAGGGAUAUUGGUCAAUGGGGGAAACCCUGAACCAGCAACGCCGCGUGAGGGAAGACGGUUUUCGGAUUGUAAACCUCUGUCCUCUGUGAAGAUGAUGACGGUAGCAGAGGAGGGAGCGCCGGCUAACUACGUGCCAGCAGCCGCGGUAAUACGUAGGGAGCAAGCGUUGUCCGGAUUUAUUGGGUUAAAAGGGUGCGCAGGCGGGCUGUUAAGGCAGCGGUAAAAGCCCGGGGCUCAACCCCGGCCAGCCGUUGAAACUGGCAGUCUCGAGUUGGCGAGAAGUAUGCGGAAUGCGCGGUGUAGCGGUGAAAUGCAUAGAUAUCGCGCAGAACUCCGAUUGCGAAGGCAGCAUGCCGGCUCCACACUGACGCUGAGGCACGAAAGCGUGGGUAUCGAACAGGAUUAGAUACCCCAGUAGUC
rnacentral:rRNA from 1 species